rnacentral:rRNA from 1 species
UACGUAGGGGGCAAGCGUUGUCCGGAUUCAUUGGGCGUAAAGAGCGUGUAGGCGGCCAGGUAGGUCGGUUGUGAAAACUGGAGGCUCAACCUUCAGACGUCGACCGAAACCAUCUGGCUAGAGUCCGGAAGAGGAGAGUGGAAUUCCUGGUGUAGCGGUGAAAUGCGCAGAUAUCAGGAAGAACACCCGUGGCUAAGGCGGCUCUCUAGUACGGUACGGACGCUGAGACGCGAAAGCGUGGGGAGCGAACAGG